rfam:Kwoniella heveanensis BCC8398 unplaced genomic scaffold supercont1.6, whole genome shotgun sequence.
GGGUUUGUAGUGUAGUGGUAUCGCGCUUCAUUUGGGAUCCGCUUUCCCCCAGGGGAUAUAGGAGACUCUUUGAAGAGGUCCCGCGUUCGAUCCGCGGCUGACCCC